rnacentral:rRNA from 1 species
AAGUCGUAACAAGGUUUCUCGUAGGUGACCUGCGGAA